UUUUAUAGUUGUUAGUCCAAUGAUUUAGGGAGUAUUUGCAGUUUUCCUAAAUUAAUGGAUAAAAAAUUAGAAAGAUGUCCAUGUUCCAUGAAAAGAAGUUUAUCAUACAUUAAUACAAAGUUAUAAUGUGGUUUUAAAUUUUAAAACAAAUUUAAAGAUUAUAGGCUUCAUAUAUAGAGCAUUUACCGAAAACUCACUAUUUUCAUAGGGGGGUACAAAUAGAUUUUGAGAAAAAUUCAAAAAAUUUGAGAAUACUGUUUUAAUACAUAUAUGAAUCAUGGAAUAGCAUAUGAUGAAGUUCAAAGAGGUUUGUAACUUUUUUUGUCUCCGUUUCUCUAAGGAAUAGCAAUUUUAUAGUGGUUAGUCCAAUGAUUUAGGGAGUAUUUACAGUUUUGCUAAAUUAAUUGAUAAAAAAUUAGAAAGAUGUCCAUGUACCAUGAAAAGGAGUUUAUCAUAUAUUAAUACAAAUGUAUAAUGUGGUUAUAAAUUUUAAAACGAAUUAAAAGAUUAUAGGCUUCAUAUAUAGAGCAUUUACCGAAAACUCACUAUUUUCGUAGGGGGGUACACAUAGAUUUUGAGAAAAAUUCAAAAAAAUUGAAAAUACUGUUUUAAUACAUAUUUGAAUCAUGUAAUAAAAUAUGAUGAAGUUCAAAGAGGUUUGGAACCUUUGUUGUCUCCGUUUCUCUAAGGAAUAGCAAUUUUAUAGUGGUUAGUCCAAUGAUUUAGGGAGUAUUUACAGUUUUGCUAAAUUAAUUGAUAAAAAAUUAGAACGAUGUCCAUGUACCAUGAAAAAAAGUUUAUCAUAAAUUAAUACAAAUGUAUAAUGUGGUUAUAAAUUUUAAAACGAAUUAAAAGAUUAUAGGCUUCAUAUAUAGAGCAUUUACCGAAAACUCACUAUUUUCGUAGGGGGGUACACAUAGAUUUUGAGAAAAAUUCAAAAAAUUUGAGAAUACUGUUUUAAUACAUAUAUGAAUCAUGGAAUAGCAUAUGAUGAAGUUCAAAGAGGUUUGGAACCUUUGUUGUCUCCGUUUUUCUAAGGAAUAGCAAUUUUAUAGUGGUUAGUCCAAUGAUUUAGGGAGUAUUUACAGUUUUGCUAAAUUAAUUGAAACAAAAUUAGAACGAUGUCCAUGUACCAUGAAAAGAAGUUUAUCAUAAAUUAAUACAAUGGUAUAAUUUGGUUUUAAAUUUUAAAACGAAUUAAAAUAUUAUUGGCUUCAUAUGUAGAGCAUUUACCGAAAACUCACCAUUUUCGUAGGGGGGUACACAUAGAUGGAAAACUCACUAUUUUCGUAGGAGGGUACACAUAGAUUUUGAGAAAAAAUCAAAAAAAUUGAGAAUACUGUUUUAAUACAUAUUUGAAUCAUGUAAUAAAAUAUGAUGAAGUUCAAAGAGGUUUGGAACCUUUGUUGUCUCCGUUUUUCUAAGGAAUAUCAAUUUUAUACUGGUUAGUCCAAUGAUUUAGAUAGUAUUUACAGUUUUUCUAAAUUAAUUGAUACAAAAUUAGAACGAUGUCCAUGUACCAUGAAAAUAAUUUUAUCAUACAUUAAUACAAUGGUAUAAUGUGGUUUUAAAUUUUAAAACGAAUUUAAAUAUUAUUGGCUUCAUAUAUAGAGCAUUUACCGAAAACUCACUAUUUUUGUAGGGGGGUACACAUAGAUUUUGAGAAAAAUUCAAAAAAUUUGAGAAUACUGUUUUAAUACAUAUUUGAAUCAUGUAAUAAAAUAUGAUGAAGUUCAAAGGAAAAAUCAAAAAAUUUGAGAAUACUGUUUUAAUACAUAUAUGAAUCAUGGAAUACCAUAUGAUGAAGUUCAAAGAGGUUUGUAACCGGUGUUGUCUCCGUUUCUCUAGGGAAUAGCAAUUUUAUAGUGGUUAAUCCAAUGAUUUAGGGAGUAUUUGCAGUUUUGCUAAAUUAAUGGAUAAAAAAUUAAAAAGAUGUCCAUGUACCAUGAAAAGAAGUUUAUCAUACAUUAAUACAAAGGUAUAAUGUGGUUAUAAAUUUUAAAACAAAUUUAAAGAUUAUAGGCUUAAUGUAUAGAGCAUUUACCGAAAACUCACUAUUUUCGUAGGGGGGUACACAUAGAUUUUGAGAAAAAAUCAAAAAAAUUGAGAAUAUUGUUUUAAUACAUUAUGAGUCAUGGAAUAACACAUGAUGAAGUUCAAAGAGGUUUGUAACCUUUGUUGUCUCCGUUUCUUUUGGGAAUAGCAAUUUUAUAGUUGUUAGUCCAAUGAUUUAGGGAGUAUUUGCAGUUUUGCUAAAUUAAUGGAUAAAAAAUUAGAACGAUGUCCUUGUACCAUGAAAAGAAGUUUAUCAUACAAUAAUACAAAGGUAUAAUGUGGUUUUAAAUUUUAAAACAAAUUUAAAUAUUAUUGGCUUCAUAUAUAGAGCAUUUACCGAAAACUCACUAUUUUCGUAGGGGGGGUACACAUAGAUUUUGGGAAAAAUUCAAAAAUUUGAGAAUACUGUUUUAAUACAUAUUUGAAUUAUGUAAUAAAAUAUGAUGAAGUUCAAAGAGGUUUGGAACUUUUGUUGUCUCCGUUUCUCUAAGGAAUAGCAAUUUUAUAG
rnacentral:lncRNA from 1 species